GGGGAAUUUUGCGCAAUGGGCGAAAGCCUGACGCAGCGACGCCGCGUGGGUGAUGAAGGCCUUCGGGUUGUAAAGCCCUGUGGGGAGGGAAGAAUAAAGCGAGACGAAUAGGCUCGUGGAUGACGGUACCUCCUUAGCAAGCACCGGCUAACUCUGUGCCAGCAGCCGCGGUAAGACAGAGGGUGCAAACGUUGUUCGGAAUUACUGGGCGUAAAGCGCGUGUAGGCGGCAACGCAAGUCGGGUGUGAAAGCCCUGGGCUCAACCUAGGAAGUGCACUCGAAACUGCGUAGCUUGAGUCUCGGAGAGGAUGGUGGAAUUCUCGGUGUAGAGGUGAAAUUCGUAGAUAUCGAGAGGAACACCCGUGGCGAAGGCGGCCAUCUGGACGAAGACUGACGCUGAGACGCGAAAGCAUGGGGAGCAAAC
rnacentral:rRNA from 1 species